rnacentral:rRNA from 1 species
UACAGAGGUCUCAAGCGUUUGUUCGGGAUUACAUUGGGCGUAAAGGGUGCGUAGGUGGCGCCGAUAAGUCGGGUGUGAAAUUCGGAGCUUAAACUCCGCAAACUGCAUUCGAAUACUGCGGUGCUUGAGGAACUGGAGAGGAGACUGGAAAUUCUCGGUGUAGCGGUGAAAUGCGUUAGAUAUCGAGAGGAACACCUGCGGCGAAGGCGGGUUGCGUGGGCCGAACACUGACCGCUGAUGCGCGAAAGCCAGGGAGCGAACGGG